ACUUUACGCACAUGAUUUAAGCCCAGUUUUCUCAGAACAAGACUCAAAUAAUUAGUGUCUGUUUCUCUUUCAGCCUCCGGUGUUUGUUAACCUUCCUGCGGUUACUUUACGUCAAUAGCGGAGUCAGUGACGUCUAAAACAUUGCUAUAUUCUCUCACAGUAUCGGACCUAGGCGUUCCACCAUGUUACUUGAGCGAUACUGCGUUUGCCGCGGGCAUUCUACCCUUGGAGCAAAGUACUGUGACACCGCAAAAUACUCGACAUGAGCCGACAACGACCAAUUUAGCAGUGUUUGCAUCUCCAUGCAGAGUACCUGGUGUACGCCCAUAAUCCGGGCGGAUUCGAUUUCAAAAGUUCCGGAGCCGUGAACGCCGAGAACACGUGCGGCGACUCCGUGUCCACCGUCAGAGAGACGCUGAUUGUGAACAUCAUCAAUACGGCACCGUUGAGUACUUAUCCUUGGGGUUCCAGUGACGUCGACGAGGACGUCAGCGGAACGUUGACGUUAAAGACGUUGGAUUUUGUUACUUUCGAUAAGUCUGAUGCCAC